GCUACCCGUGACGCCCGCGCGCUGAGGGAGGAUCCGGCGGGGCGGCGCAGAGAGCGCGAGCGGCCCAGAGGACGCCCGACCCCCUCGCCUCGCGAGGCCUGCGCGGGAGAACCGCUGAGCCCUCCCGGGUCUGCAGGUGGCCCAGCCGGCUCCUGCCAGGCUUCGUCAGGUGGGGCGGGGGACCGCAGGGACUCAUGCAAGUUUAGGACUGGAGACACCCGAGCCGUUGGUUGUGCCCCGGAGCGUCCUCAAAAUCGAGCGUUUCUGAAGCCUAGGAACAGACGCUUUCUGUGUUGUUCUGAAACACGCCGGUAAGGAGGAGAAUCCUCGGUAUGGAAGAGCUCAGGAGAGGCCACAGUUGAACUCAGGCACCAGGAGAGAGAGGCUUUGAAUCUGCCUAAAAGCCAUUCGAUUUUUGAUGGCAAUGUGCAGAAUUGCCACUUAUGAGUAGAGUUCAGGCAAGCCUGAAGUAUGUUGCUGCUCAGAAAUGCUGUGUCUGGGAAAGAGACUUAAUUCACUCAGCCUGCAGCAGUAUGGUUAUUGUUGGUGGAAGAGUCUGGAAAACCCUCCUCCUGUGGGCCUCGGUUCUUGGAUAUAAUUCAGGAAGCAGUGGGAAAUUAGAUCGGAGAAGAAAGUUUAGGCCACGGGAUGAGGAGGAAGAAAGUGAAGUUUUCCUGGCGGUUCCACCAACAUAAUAUCUGCAUUGGUUUCGUCGUGGAUCCCAGCCUCUUGCCAGGUGUGGUACCCACAGAGGUUCUUCGUGCCUUCCUGCUAGUGGCUUGUAAGUCUGUGCCAACAUGGCUUCUCACUGUUGUGGCCUCUCCCGUUGAGGAGCACAGGCUCACGGGCCCAGCCGCUCCGCGGCAUGUGGGAUGUUCCCGGACCGGGGCACGAACCCAUGUCCCCUGCAUCGGCAGGCGGACUCUCAACCACUGCGCCACCAGGGAAGCCCUUGAGAACUUAAUAUGUUAUUUUCUGCCAACAUUCUACCCCUGCCAAGAUACUAUCCCUCACUUCCCAUAGAAAGCAAUGUGAUACAGAGAUUACAAGAAAAGGCCUUGAACUAAG